rnacentral:rRNA from 1 species
AUGUUGGGUCAACCUGGUCUUCGGAUGGUCUUCAGCAUGCAUGUAGCGGCACAGCUUGCAUGCAACGGCAGUAAGCCUCAGGUUGCAGUAGCCACGGCCGGUGCAAAAGGAGUGCAGCAGCGCACCAUCUUGGGUGGUUCCCAGUCGCGACCAUCACAGGACGGCUCCCAGUCGCCGGCUUCGGAGGAGCGGCGAUGGUGCAGCCGGUCCAGGCGCGGCCAUCGCGGUGAGGUCGUGGUUAGGGAGAUCGUGCGCGAGACCGCAAUCAGCGGUAGCGUGCCCAUCACCUUCCCGAUGCUCACGCGCUCAAACUACAGUGAGUGGUGGGCGUUGAUCAUGGAGUGCAACCUUCAUGCGGCGAGCCUCUGGGCUCCCAUGGAGGACGAUCUGGUCGAGAGAAAGGAGGACAGGAAAGCCGUGGCGGCCCUCAUGUGCGCCACGCCGCCGGAGAUGCACGGCAUGCUCGCGGUGAAGGCAAGCGCCAAGGAGGCGUGGGAAGCCAUCCGUACCCUGCGCCUCGGCAGCAACCGCAUGCGCGAGGCGAACGCGCAAAAGCUGCGGGCGGACUUCGAGAACAUCGCCUUCAAGGAGGGCGAGCUCGUCGACAACUUCGCCAUGUGGAUCUCCAGCGUCGCGGUCUCCAUCGAGACCUUGCUUGACCUGAGUGAGCUCUCCAUCGAGGAGCUCACGGGCCGGUUGCGGAGCAGUGGAGGCGGCACCGACAGAGGCGGCGGUCGCACCCAGGGCGGAGACGGACAAGGUGCCGGCAACGACGACCGGGACAAGUGCCGAUAUUGCAGCAUCAAGGGCCACUGGGCCCGUGAGUGCCGCAAGAGGAUGGCUAAGGAGGAUGCCGCGGCUGCGGUGAACCUCAUCGAGGCUGAAGAGGACGGUGGGCCAGCAAUGAUGAUGGCUUGCGUCGAGACCAUGCAGGAGGGCGCAGUGCCUCCGGUGACCAUGGUCCCGACAAGCAUCGAAGCUGUGCAGGAGGGUGUAGCACCUCCGGCGACCACAGUGCCGACAACCGUUAAGUCCGUGCGGGAGGCAUGGAGCUCUUCAAGUAAUCCCCUCCCGACAUCGGGAGCGCUCUCCUCGACAACAAUGUUCUCGGGAGACUACGAUUGGGAGGAGAUGAAGACCCGGGUGUGGGGGAGCCACGCCCCGGCAACCACGUCCCCUGCGACGCUGGUCAAGCACGUGCAAGUUGGCACGACAAAGGCGUACCCGACAUCCUUGGGACCAGACAAGCCCGUGUCAGGAGGCACGGCAACGACGCAUCUAGUGGGCCACGUCCCAACCAUGAUGCUGGCAACCAGUGAGCCCAUGCAAGAGGCACGACACUCUCAGGUCGACCACACCCCGACAACCAGGUUCUCGUGGUUCUGCAAGCCCGUGUGGACAUGGGGCGGCAAGGCCUCGACUGAGACUAUGGCGACCAUUAAGUCCAUGCAGGAGGCACAACACUCUCUGGUCAGCUAUGCCGCGACCCCAAUGCGCUCGGGGUCCAUCGAGUCCGUGCGGGAGGCACGACUCACAACUAUUAGGGGAGACCCGACAAGCAAGUCUGAUGGGAAGAGCGACAAGGAAUCCACUACCUUGGGAGAAGCCACACCGGGUAGUGCGAUGUCCGACAAGUCAUCCCCGGGAAGGGAGUUCCCGGGUAUCAUGACGUCUGACACGUCGACCCCAAGAAGGGAGUUUCUGGGCAGUGUGAUGUCAGGAAAUACGACUCCAGCAACACUGACGCCUACGAGCGAGGUGGUUUCUGGGCAGUUCAUGUUCCCGCCAACAGCGCGGUCAGACUUGUUCGAUGCCGACAACAAUGUUGGCACUCCACACAGGUUCCGACGCCUAGGAGGAUAUUCUCGACGAGCCUACGGGACGAUCGCAGCACUGCGCGAUCAAGAAGGACGAGCACGGCGUACGGGCUACCCAAACCAGGAGAAGGAAGACAUCCCAAAGAAGACAGUUGGUCGAGUUUGGUUCCAGAAACCAUGCGAGAAGAUCGGGAUCAUGGAAACAAGCUCCUUUGACAAGUCGCGGCCAUCACAGGACGGCUCCCAGUCGCCGGCUCCGGAGGAGCGGCGAGGGCGCAGCCGGUCCAGGCGCGGCCAUCGCGGUGAGGUCGUGGUUAGGGAGAUCGUGCGCGAGACUGCAAUCAGCGGUAGCGUGCCCAUCACCUUCCGGAUGCUCACGCGCUCAAACUACAGUGAGUGGGCAUUGAUCAUGGAGUGCAACCUUCAUGCGGCGAGCCUCUGGGCUCCCAUGGAGGACGACCUGGUCGAGAGAAAGGAGGACAGGAAAGCCGUGGAGGCCCUCAUGCGCGCCAUGCCGCCGGAGAUGCAUGGCAUGCUCGCGGCCAACCGCGUGCGCGAGGCGAACGCGCAAAAGCUACGGGCGGACUUCGAGAACAUCCCCUUCAAGGAGGGCGAGCUCGUCGACAACUUCGCCUUGAGGAUCUCCAGCGUUGCGUCACAACUCGGAGCGCUCGGCGACACCAUGGACGAUGCGAGAGUCGUGCGGAAAUUUCUCCACGUCGUGCCACCUCGCUUUGCUCAGGUAGCGGUCUCCAUCGAGACCUUGCUUGACCUGAGUGAGCUCUCCAUCGAGGAGCUCACGGGCCGGUUGCGGGUGAUCGAGGACCGCUUUGACGACGGCCGCGAGAGCUUUGGCGGCGGACAACUCCUAUUCUCAAAGAAGUGGGAGGGCGGAGCCGGACGAGGUGCCGGCAACGACGACCGGGACAAGUGCCGAUAUUGCAGCAUCAAGGGCCACUGGGCCCGUGAGUGCCGCAAGAGGAUGGCUGACGAGGAUGCCGCGGCUGCGGCGAACCUCGUCGAGGCUGAAGAGGACGGUGGGCCAGCAAUGAUGAUGGCUUGCGUCGAGACCAUGCAGGAGGGCGCAGUGCCUCCGGUGACCAUGGUCCCGACAAGCAUCGAAGCCGUGCAGGAGGGUGUAGCACCUCCGGCGACCACAGUGCCGACAACCGUUAAGUCCGUGCGGGAGGCAUGGAGCUCUUCAAGUAAUCCCCUCCCGACAUCGGGAGCGCUCUCCCCGACAACAAUGUUCUCGGGAGACUACGAUUGGGAGGAGAUGAAGACCCGAGUGUGGGGGAGCCACGCCCCGGCAACCACGUCCCCUACGACGCUGGUCAAGCACGUGCAAGUUGGCACGACAAAGGCGUACCCAACAUCCUUGGGACCAGACAAGCCCGUGUCAGGAGGCACGGCAACGACGCAUCUAGUGGGCCACGUCCCGACCAUGAUGCUGGCAACCAGUGAGCCCAUGCAAGAGGCACGACACUCUCAGGUCGACCACACCCCGACAACCAGGUUCUCGGGGUUCUGCAAGCCCGUGUGGGUGACACGGCACUCUUCGACAAGCCUCAACUGGGAGGCAAUGAGAGACAGACAUGGGGCGGCAAGGCCUCGACCGAGACUAUGGCGACCAUUAAAUCCAUGCAGGAGGCACAACACUCUCUGGGGAGACCCGACAAGCAAGUCUGAUGGGAAGAGAGACAAGGAAUCCACUACCUUGGGAGAAGUCACACCGGGUAGUGCGAUGUCCGACAAGUCAUCCCCGGGAAGGGAGUUCCCGGGUAUCAUGACGUCUGACACGUCGACCCCAGGAAGGGAGUUCCUGGGCAGUGUGAUGUCAGGAAAUACGACUCCAGCAACACUGACGCCUACGAGCGAGGUGGUUUCUGGGCAGUUCAUGUUCCCGCCCACAGCGCGGUCAGACUUGUUCGAUGCCGACAACAAUGUUGUCACUCCACAUAGGUUCCGACGCCUAGGGGGAUAUUCUCGACGAGCCCGCGGGACGAUCGCAGCACUGCGCGAUCAAGAAGGACGAGCACGGCGUACGGGCUACCCAAACCACGAGAAGGCAGACAUCCCAAAGAAGACACUUGGUCGAGUUUGGUUCCAGGAACCAUGCGAGAAGAUCGGGAUCAUGGAAACAAGCUCCUUCGACAAGGUUGAGGAGGAGAUUGUUGGGUCAACCUGGUCUUCGGAUGGUCUUCAGCAUGCAUAUAACGACCUUAUCCAUGCACUCCAGGACUCGGCGGCUCCACCGGACGCCCCGCUCAUCACAGCCAUAGGACUCGGCUGCCAACGGAACCACGCACGUUUACGUUGCUGCUCUCAUUUUCGUCGUGACCCAUCCUGCGGAUCCGACCUAACGCAACGACGCCGGUCGCACCGUCACGGACCUGACGUGGCGCACGGACGCUGGUCACACCAUGUUCUGUCACAGCUCCAACGACAUACGCCGUGCUCCUUCGCCGUCAGCGACAUACGCCUGGCGUCCCUCGGCGCCCCGCACGUCCCGGGCACAUCCGACAUGCCCGAUCGCAGCAGUGCGUCUCGCACGUACUGUGCGCACCCGACACGCCCGACGAGCCCGACCACACCACACGUCGUGGACUCACCGCGUGCCGCCUCCGCGUUCGCCAUGGCAGCCGCAGCGCCUCGCACCUCCACGAGCCGACACAUAGCUUGGAGCUUCACCGCGCAGCCGCCGGCGAACGCCGCCACCACCGACACCCUCCGACAAGGGGACGACACCCAACAUGAACCAGGCUCAUGA